AUUACUCUUCUCUUUCUUCAUGUGUUUCUCAACUUGUCUUCAUUCAUUCAACUUCCUGCUGCUUUCUCUUUAGUUUUUUACAGGAUAAUCUGGUUCUGCAAUAGCACAGGGGAGUUUUGGCUGAUAUAGUGACAUCAGGCUCAGCGCUCCUGCCCCACACAAAGAAGAGUUCAUUCUGCUGGGGGUUGCCCUUCUCUUUCCAGCCCUUCCACCCCUGCACCUUUGGCUGCUGGAUGAUGCUCUUGUCAGCCCAGUGAAAAUUCUUGUGCAAUCCUGACAAAUGAACACCACAAGAAGUUGGAUCUGGAAAGACCAUGUAUGUACAACUCAGCUGUGAGUUUGAUGUGGCCAAAUGUUGUUUCCAUACUCGGUGAUGUUGGCUGGUCUCUUUUCCAUUGGCUGGCUUGGGAGUCCAACUCAAAUUGCUGUCAGCAGCCCUCAUGGGUUUAGGAACAUCUGUGAAUUUAGCAUGAAGGCACUUUGAGACAGAAACCAGCUGAGAGAGAGCACGGGAUAAAUCGCCAGCUGAGUCUCUCUCUGCCCACUGUAAAAUGAGCACAGAGGACCAGCGAGAGUAAGUGGAUAACUCUCAGAUGGCUGAAAUUGCGUCAGAGAUUUGCACCCAUAGCGACCAGAAGAAAAACGAGUCAGGUGAACAGAGGAUUGUAAGAAAGGAAAAAAGAAAGCACAGCCUUGGCUAUCAUAAAGUCUAUGUGACAUUGAGCAACAGCUUCAGCUGUUAUCGCCUGCCUUCACACACUCCGAGGCCAGAUGGCUGAAGAGAAGGCGUUCAGCCACCAGUCGGUGGGCACUACAGGACUUUCCCAUCAAUCCAGAGAAAGACAAUUCAUUUUUCCCUUUCUGGUAUCAUUCAGACUGCUGUGUGAUGGGAGACUCAAGGGUAACCAACAGCUAAUCCUUGCAGAGCUGGCAGCUCUGGGCAGUAGUCAUAGCUGGAGGGAGGAUACCAAAGACUUUAUGGGGAAAAUUCCCUCUGAUUGCAAAGGGCCAGACUCCAGCAGUAUGUGCAGAAGAUUGGGUACAUUGAGAUAGCCCUUGAAUAAUGUUGCGAAGGUGGACAGAGAUUAAGAAGAAAAGCAUCCAGUUUGGAGUCAGACAGUAUAAAGAAAUGAAAAUAAAAUUCAGGUCGAAAUGCACUUGA
ensembl:lncRNA